rnacentral:rRNA from 1 species
CCUACGGGAGGCAGCAGUGGGGAAUAUUGCACAAUGGGGGAAACCCUGAUGCAGCGACGCCGCGUGAGUGAAGAAGUACUUCGUUAUGUAAAGCUCUAUCAGCAGGGAAGAAAAUGACGGUACCUGAGUAAGAAGCCCCGGCUAACUACGUGCCAGCAGCCGCGGUAAUACGUAGGGGGCAAGCGUUAUCCGGAUUUACUGGGUGUAACGGGAGCGUAGACGGCAGUGCAAGUCUGGAGUGAAAGGCGGGGGCUCAACCCCCGGACUGCUCUGGAAACUGGACGGCGGGAGUGAAGUAGAGGCAGGCGGAAUUCCUAGUGUAGCGGUGAAAUGCGUAGAUAUUAGGAGGAACACCAGUGGCGAAGGCGGCCUGCUGGGCUUUAACUGACGCUGAGGCUCGAAAGCGUGGGGAGCAAACAGGAUUAGAUACCCUAGUAGUC